CCUUCAUCAUUCAAAUGGUUCUGCAAAUAUUUACCCAUGAGAUUGGGUCUGGAGUUAGCCACUGAUAGACAACUUCAGAAUAAACAGGCUCAGUUUGUAGUAGGGUCUAUUUUAUUUAUAUUUUUUUUUUCCUGUAAGAAGUCUUUUGUUUCUAGAUUAGCAUGAGGUUAAGGUAAGGACUUGCAGCCUGCACAAGAAGUGCAAUCUCAUUUUCUCUUGAAAUCACACACCGUGUCCUUUCCUGUGCUGAUGGAAUUUGCCUCAGCAAGAAGUUUUCUUCUAGAAUUCACUUUACCCAAGAGCAGAGAGGAAAAAAUCAAAGGUGCAGGAUGAAUGCAAAUGGUACAGCUGGACUGUGUGAGUUCAGUGGAAGGACUGAUGGAAAUACACAACUUCCCAGAGUCCUUCCUCUCCACAGGGAGAAAAAGAUCCCUGGAAAAAGGUGAGCACAACCUUCAUCCCCACACAGGAGCUCUGCAGCAUCGAGACCUUUCAGAAUGGUUUCAGCUCCUGCUUUUUCCCUUUUCACAUCAUGUUCAGGCUGUUCACUGAAGAUUAAUGCAGGCACCUGAAGAUGAAUUUGAACCAUUUGGAUUUCUGGGUACGGUUCGUGCAAUCCCUGCCCAGGGACCAGGUCUGAAGCUGGGACAUGAAAUGAGAAGAGAAACCCAAAUCUAAAGGACUGAACUGGAAUGAGUUGGUCCAAGGUGUGGCAAUGUGUCUAAAUCCACGCUGAAAUCUAAUCCUACCUUGGUUAACAUAACAGAGAGAACAGGAAGCGCUGUGAAGGAAUUUUUCAUUCCCUGGGACGUCUUUGAUCCCGCUCCCCUCCCUUUUCCUAUCAGCUCCCUUUAGUGCCUUUCUCCAUCGGGAAUUCCUGGCUCUGUGCAAGGAGUUCAGACACCUUUCCCAGGAGAAAACUCCAGCAGGUGCUUGACAUCCAGGCUGUUUGGUGCCAGAAUGUUGUGUCCAGCUCCUCCAGCUGAUAUCUAUUUAGUGAACAGCCAUGUGCAGCACCUCGCACACCCAAAGGGAUUAACAGCAGUGGAAAGUAUUUGAGGAAUUGCAGGCAGAACCCCUGGGCUGCUCAGCAUCCUCGGUGUGCCUCAGCCACAGCAGAGAGCAGUGCCCUGCAGGCAAGGAAAAGGUUUGGCAACCACAGAGAAGUGAAUAAAUAGAGAUGAAACAAAGCAGUGAGUUCCUCUGCUGGCAAAUCAUUUAAUUAAUAGAAAGAUUCCAAUCUCCCAGGCAGCACAGGCAUGACACGACUGAGCAGACAAACGCUGUGUGUCGGGGUGUGACCUCCCCGAGCUGGGAAACAGGAAUUCUGUGUGUCACUGAUGAGCUGCUGGAACAUCCUGAGGUGGGAGAAUCCUGCUGGGUUAUCCAGGAAUGAGGGGAUCUCCGUGAUGUGCUGCUGUGGGGAGUGAGGGGCAGCAGGAGAAGGGCACAGUGCGGUGUUCCCUGAUCCUGGCGGAGCUGCAGGGGUGACACCCAGCCAAUAACCCCCAGCUCAGUCACACACUGCAAUUUCCAUCCCAUAAUUGCACCACGGGACACCCCAGGCUCUGCUUUUCCAGGGGAUUAUUGCACUCCAUGGAAAGCUGGACUCGCUUGGCCUUUGGCCUCCCAGAACCACCCAAAGCUCUCAAUAAUCUCCAGGGCUCUGCUCCCUGUUGUGUCUUUCUCAGACAAAUGGAAAACACAUUUUCACUUCAAACUAAUCCCCAUUAAACAGCGCUGAGACCAGGCAAACCCUUGAGCUGAUUCUAAUAAAAAAAAAAUAAAAAAUAAAUAAAAGAGAACAUAUUUAGAAACAAAUUAGCCUUGUAAGUGAGGCACUGCAGGAUCAUUGUGUGAAACCACCACUGGACAGAUGGGAUUUGCUGCUCCAAGAGUGACACCAGGCACAGGAAACUCAGACACAGGGAUGAGCUGGGCUCUGCACAGCCAGCUCCAGUCCUGGUGUAAAUUGGAGUGGGGGCUUCUCAGUGCUGGGAAAUGUGGGAGCAUUGUGGGGUUUGGUGGAAGAGAGGAAUCCUGAGCAGGCUGAGGCAGGGAAGGGAGCUCUGGGUGCUCUGAGGGGUUCCCAGCAGGACAUGGAGCUCUGGGGGAAACUCCAGAGGAGGCCCCAAGGUGAUCAGAGGGAUGGAGGAAGGCUGAGAGAAUUGGGGUUGUUCAGGAGAGGAGAAGCUUUGGAGUGACCUCACUGUGGCCUUGCAGUGCCUGAAGGGAGCCCACAGGAAAGAUGGAGAGAGACACAAGGGAUGGAGGGACAGGACACAGGGAACAGCUUCAAACUGACAGAGGGCAGGGAUAGAUGGGAUUUUGGGCAGGAAUUGUUCCCUGUGAGGGUGUUGAGGCCCUGGCACAGAUUCCCAGAGCAACUGGGGCUGCCCCUGGAUCCCUGGAGUGUCCCAGGCCAGGCUGGACAGGGCUUGGAGCAGCCUGGGAUGGCGGGAGGUGUCUCUGCCAUGGCAGGGGUGGGAUGGGAUGAGCUUUAAGGUCCUUUCCAACCCAAUCAUUCCAUGAUCCCAUGAUUUAGCCAAGUGUGUGCUGUGAUUUACCGAGACACUGAGCAGAGUGUUACGAGUGGGAACCUCAGCUUUGUGUUUUUAUUAGCAAAGCCCAAGGAAACGAUUUUUUUUCAGCAUGAUCCCUUGAUCCCUCUCAUCCCUACACCCUUUCUCCUUGGCCACCCUCACUGCAGCAUCGAUGCUGCCCCAACAGGAGACAGCUCCAGGCCUGAGCACCACCAAGGUGAAGCAUUCCUGUGCCAUCGUGUCUCUGCUCCCCAGGGAAUCCAUCUCUCCCCAUCCAUCCACCCAGGGGCCGGUUUUGGAUCCCUGGCUCCAGCUGUGGAGCUCGGAAUGCGGAGCAGAGCUCUCCUUCCUCGCCAAGCAUUGUUUUGAGCAUGGCUUGUGAGGGCUGGGUUUGUUUGGGGCUGGCCUUUCUUCUGUUGCUGUUUUUGGGCUCUGCAUGGAAAAUGGCUCGGUGAGCUCUGUUCUGCUCCCACUGGAGCUUAUUUUGAAUUCUCCAUUCUCCACUCCAGGCACUGGUUACAUCCAGAGAUCAUUUAGGAUGUGUGAAUGUCUUAACAGCCCAUUCCAAACCCCACUGAGGCUUUCUCUUUCCUUCAAUAGGCUUUGAUUGGGCCACAAGUAAACAACCAGGAAAUCUGAGUUGUUUUAACCUUUGUUCUGCCUUUCUCCUUUCCUGCUCUCACUUCGUUACUUCAUUUGUUACCUCACACCUAUUUAAAGAUAAGACUUCUUCCAGUUAAGAGCCAUGCCUUGAAUUUUUUCUCCUUUUAACUUUCACUGAUUUUGAUUUAUUCGUUCUAACCACCUUCAAUGGCUUAGGUUUGUUGAGUAAGUGCAAAUGCUGACAGAGUUAAUUUUUGUCCCCACAGGA